UACGGGGGGAGCAAGCGUUGUUCGGAUUUACUGGGCGUAAAGGGCGCGUAGGCGGUCAGUGCAAGUCAGUUGUGAAAUCUCCGGGCUUAACUCGGAAAGGUCAACUGAUACUGCUCGACUAGAGUGCGGAAGGGGCAACUGGAAUUCUUGGUGUAGCGGUGAAAUGCAUAGAUAUGUCACAGAACACCAAUUGCGAAGGCAGCUUACUAAAGUAUGAUUGACGCUGAGGCACGAAAGCGUGGGGAUCAAACAGGA
rnacentral:rRNA from 1 species